AUGAACGCUGGCGGCGUGCCUAAUCCAUGCAAGUCGAGCGAACAGACGAGGAGCUUGCUCCUCUGACGUUAGCGGCGGACGGGUGAGUAACACGUGGAUAACCUACCUAUAAGACUGGGAUAACUUCGGGAAACCGGAGCUAAUACCGUAUAACAUGUUGAACCGCAUGGUUCAACAGUGAAAGACGGUCUUGCUGUCACUUAUAGAUGGAUCCGCGCCGCAUUAGCUAGUUGGUAAGGUAACGGCUUACCAAGGCAACGAUGCGUAGCCGACCUGAGAGGGUGAUCGGCCACACUGGAACUGAGACACGGUCCAGACUCCUACGGGAGGCAGCAGUAGGGAAUCUUCCGCAAUGGGCGAAAGCCUGACGGAGCAACGCCGCGUGAGUGAAGAAGGUCUUCGGAUCGUAAAACUCUGUUAUUAGGGAAGAACAAAUGUGUAAGUAACUAUGCACGUCUUGACGGUACCUAAUCAGAAAGCCACGGCUAACUACGUG
rnacentral:rRNA from 1 species